CCAUUUCCUGCAUUCUGAGCAUCCAAAUUUGCUCUAAAAUUUAUGCUAACUAUACUUGUAUUUGAAAUAAAAGAAGGGAAAAAUGCACAAAAAGUAAAGAAGAAUAUUAACCGUAGUAGAUUUAUCAUUAUACUUAUCAGAGGGGGAUACCAAUGACCGAAGGCCACGUGUGUGGGGGCAUAAUCUCCAGAAAGUUUUUCAAAUUUGAAAGGGGGCAUUUCCCCCCCCCCCAGCUUGUAUGUUAAAAAAGGCUUUGGAUGGAUAGCAAUUUGGUUGACCGAAACUGAAUUGGACUUUCAAAUCGAUGAAGUGAAAAAUAUUUUUUUACCAAUGUCAAUUAAUUAAAGAAAAUGAUUCCUUGAUAUUUGCGAGAUUCGAAUGCUAGACACGACAGACCAUACGCUUGUCGGUGGCAAUAUUAUGCGUAGAAAGUUAAUGUAAAGUGCCAAAAAAUUCCCAAUGGGACUCUAAAUUUAAUCUAAACUACUGUGGAAUAACGCGAGAUCAACUAAUUUAUCUGCAAAUUACUCGUUUGACAUGACACUGAAAUUAGUUCUAAUUAAUUCUCAUGUGAUUUCAAAGGGUCCACCUCUUUGGGCUAUUAGUAAAACCAGGAACACCGGAACACUGGAACAGCAUCAUUCCGGAACACGGAACACCGGAACACUAAAAAUUCUUAAUUUGUUAAAAAUUCGAAAAAAAAUACCGGGGGGGGGGGGUGAAAGUAUUGCUGCAAUAAUUAUUGCGUAAAACGUGCUUUUUUAAUUUUCUGACUUGGCUGACGAUAGCUACUAAUAACGAACAGAGAUCCUCACAGAAAUCAGUCUGAAAGUAAUAAAUAUUUGCCCAAAUUGAAUAGAAUUGUUAUUUGUUGAGAAUAAAUGGCCCAUCUUUGUUUGUUGUUCAAAACAUGUCAAUCAAAAUAUUAAAGUAACAACAGUUGAUUGCCUUCCUUGUUUUUACCGACUUAGCUACUUUUGAUUUGCAAAAGAUAAUUUUCAAUUCUCGUUCGAAGUUGGCAUUUAGCAUCAAGGCCAUGUAAGUUGUAUAUAUAAAUGAUGUUUCAACGCAUGCAUGUGUGUCUAUUCGUCUAUGUUUAUUGUUUAAACUGUAAAUUAAACUGAUACUCAGUGAGGGAAUUUUUGUACGAGCUCGAGCCGGUUUUCGCUUGCCCUGAGAUUCAUUGUUGGCAG